UACGGGGGGGGCAAGCGUUGUUCGGAAUUACUGGGCGUAAAGGGCUCGUAGGCGGCCAACUAAGUCAGACGUGAAAUCCCUCGGCUUAACCGGGGAACUGCGUCUGAUACUGGAUGGCUUGAGUUUGGGAGAGGGAUGCGGAAUUCCAGGUGUAGCGGUGAAAUGCGUAGAUAUCUGGGGGAACAACGGUGGCGAAGGCGGCAUCCUGGACCAACACUGACGCUGAGUGAGCGAAAGCCAGGGGAGCAAACGGG
rnacentral:rRNA from 1 species